UACGUAGGUGGCUAGCGUUGUCCGGAUUUACUGGGCGUAAAGAGCGCGCAGGCGGUCGUUCAAGUCGGGUGUGAAAGCCCCCGGCUCAACUGGGGAGGGUCACUCGAUACUGAUCGACUCGAAGGCAGGAGAGGGAAGCGGAAUUCCCGGUGUAGUGGUGAAAUGCGUAGAUAUCGGGAGGAACACCAGUGGCGAAGGCGGCUUUCUGGCCUGUUCUUGACGCUGAGGCGCGAAAGCUAGGGUAGCAAACGGG
rnacentral:rRNA from 1 species